UGUUUUCUUCUAGUAUUUUCUCUUCUUGCUGUAGUUGCUUCUGGGUUGUACAGAAACCUGCCUAUUGUGCCUUUUGAUGAAGGGUAUAGUCAUUUGUUUGGGCAUGAUAAUCUUGUUGUUCAUAGAGAUGGAAAAUCUGUUCAUUUAUCUCUAGAUGAAAGAACAGGUCUGUGUUUCUUCUUCUUAUUCUUUUUUUUUUUCCGUUUUUGUGUACUUAAUUUUUGUUCCUGUUAGGGUUUCUGAGUAUGACUUUUAUUGUGUGUAUACAGGGUCUGGAUUUGUGUCACAUGACCUCUAUCUUCAUGGUUUCUUCAGUGCUUCAAUAAAGUUGCCUGCUGAUUAUACUGCCGGCGUUGUUGUUGCCUUCUAUGUAAGUCAUCUUUCCAACAGUUAUUUUUUUCCUGAAAAAAAAGGUUUUUUUUUUCCCUCGUUGUAAGGUUAGCUUUGAAGUUUAAUCCGAUUCUAUUAGUCUGACCCAUAUGAACCAAGCUUAAAAAUCUGAUUAGACCAUUGAUAUUUGAAUGGUCCGUUUCAGAAAUUUUGUUUUUCAUUUUUGAUCAUAUUGGGUAAUUAAAAGCUGAAAAAAGAAAAUAUUAAAACGACACCCAGAUGGAUUUUUUCUUCUAUUUUUAAAUUUGCAAGUUCACGUGCUUGUGUAUCGAUGAAGAGCUGGGAAUUUUCACUUUUGGUUUGCAGAUGUCAAAUGGUGACAUGUUUGAGAAGAAUCAUGAUGAAAUAGACUUUGAGUUCUUGGGUAAUAUUAGAGGCAAAAAUUGGA
rnacentral:lncRNA from 1 species